ensembl:lncRNA
CCAGGAUUCAUUGCCUACCCUCUCCUGCUACCCUUAGGAAACGAAGCUGAAAAUAGAAACAUCAAAACAACAAGCCAUUCCAGCUCUAAGUGCCAUAGUAAACAAAUGGUCCAAUGUUGCUCCGAUGGUUUAAUUGCAGCAGCUCCAGACAAGCUCAUUCAUGAAGCAUCUUCAGUUGAUGAAGAGGAGGAGUGAGGCCUUGGGGGAAGGGGUGGCUUGUGGCUAUCUCUGAGAAGGUAUCUGAACUGCCAUCCCAGUCUUCUCUCUAUCCAUCCAUUUAUUAACCAAACACAUAUCAAGGGUCUAUGGGGAGUUAGGCACAAUGCUGGAAUCACAAAGAUGAAUACAACAUGGUUCCUAACCAUGAGGAGCUCAAGGACCAGCAGGGUGAAUGACGCUGCAGUAUACUAGUAUGAAUGCUCCAGCUGUUCCCUUAAAGUGACUGGCAACAAUGGAUCCUUUCUAUUCACGAAUUCCCGGGCCUGUAGUGUGGCUGUGGUGGGCUCCUAGGUGCUUCCCUGCGUUUUCCAAAUGGUGACAAGAUGUGAACCCCUGCGGCAUAAGAAAGCCUCCUUUGGAGACAGCGCGCUAUUCAUAGAGGCCCAUGAUCCCUCCACGGUUCCCUGUCAGGAAGGAAGCCUCAGGCUGCCCUCUAGUGGCAGGCAGGGUUGUGCAGACCCAGAGAAACUGGCAAACAAGGGAACCAGAGAAGCAAGCUUCACUUAGCACGUGGUGGAGACUCUCUGGAAGCCGGAGGCAGAAAAUACAGCCUGGUUCUCUCUCUGCUGUUUGUGGUCCUGCUGGAUCUCUCAGAAAUCUUGAGAGAAGAGAAUAAAAG